GACGAACGCUGGCGGCGUGCUUAACACAUGCAAGUCGAACGGAAAGGCCCUGCUUUUGUGGGGUGCUCGAGUGGCGAACGGGUGAGUAACACGUGAGUAACCUGCCCUUGACUUUGGGAUAACUUCAGGAAACUGGGGCUAAUACCGGAUAGGAGCUCCUGCUGCAUGGUGGGGGUUGGAAAGUUUCGGCGGUUGGGGAUGGACUCGCGGCUUAUCAGCUUGUUGGUGGGGUAGUGGCUUACCAAGGCUUUGACGGGUAGCCGGCCUGAGAGGGUGACCGGGCACCUUGGGACUGAGAUACGGCGCAGACUGCUACGGGGGGCAGCAGUGGGGAAUAUUGCACAAUGGGCGGAAGUCUGAUGAAGAAACGCCGCGUGCGGGAUGACGGCCUUCGGGUUGUAAACCGCUUUAGCCUGUGACGAAGCGUGAGUGACGGUAAUGGGUAAAGAAGCACCGGCUAACUACGUG
rnacentral:rRNA from 1 species